rnacentral:rRNA from 1 species
CCUACGGGGGGCAGCAGUGAGGAAUAUUGGUCAAUGGGCGCGAGUCUGAACCAGCCAAGUAGCGUGAAGGAUGACUGCCCUAUGGGUUGUAAACUUCUUUUAUAAAGGAAUAAAACGAGGCACGUGUGCCUUUUUGCAUGUACUUUAUGAAUAAGGAUCGGCUAACUCCGUGCCAGCCGCCGCGGUAAGACGGAGGAUCCGAGCGUUAUCCGGAUUUAUUGGGUUUAAAGGGAGCGUAGAUGGGUUGUUAAGUCAGUUGUGAAAGUUUGCGGCUCAACCGUAAAAUUGCAAUUGAUACUGGCAGUCUUGAGUACAGUUGAGGUAAGCGGAAUUCGUGGUGUAGCGGUGAAAUGCUUAGAUAUCACGAAGAACACCGAUUGCGAAGGCAGCUUACUAAACUGUGACUGACAUUGAUGCUCGAAAGUGUGGGUAUCAAACAGGAUUAGAUACCCGUGUAGUC